rnacentral:tRNA from 1 species
GGGAUGUUAGUAAAACAAUUACGUAGCCUUGUCAAGACUAAAUUACAGGUGAAACUCCUGUACAUCCCA